rnacentral:siRNA from 1 species
UCAUGAUGAUAGUUAUCAGAAUG